rnacentral:sRNA from 1 species
GGGGGUGAUGGCGCCGGGCGCCCCACGGGCUGCAAACCCGUUGGCCUCAUCUAAGAAAUGAGGGGUGGGUUCGACCCCCACUUGCCCCCUCCA